AAAUCAGGAUCAAAUAGAAAAUCUGACAGCCAUAAAGGCCCACACGUAGCGCACGAGAAGAAUACCUGCAUGAAGACAAGAUGUGGUUGCUGGUCCCGACUUAGGGCAUAUUAUUCAACCCCAGUGAUCAAGUACACAUCGUACCUCCUGGUCUACUGUAUUUUCCUUGGCCUGUAUGCCCAUUUCAUGCUGAUUGUCCUCACGUUUGAAUUCAAAUGGAACUGGGAGGUCCCGCUGCUCGUGUGGAUGCUAGCUUUUUUUG